rnacentral:rRNA from 1 species
GAUGAACGCUGGCGGCGUGCCUAAUACAUGCAAGUCGAGCGAACGGACGAGAAGCUUGCUGCUCUGAUGUUAGCGGCUGGCGAGUUAGUAACACGUGGGUAACCUACCUGUAAGACUGGGAUAACUUCGGGAAACCGGAGCUAAUGCCGGAUAAUAUUUUGAACCGCAUGGUUCAAAAGUGAAAGACGGUCUUGCUGUCACUUAUAGAUGGAUCCGCGCUGCAUUAGCUAGUUGGUAAGGGAACGGCUUACCCAGGCAACGAUGCAUAGCCGACAUGAGAGGGUGAUCGGACAGCCUGGCACUGAGAAACGGUCGCGACACUUACGGGGGGCCGCAGUAGGGACUCUUCCGCAAUGGGGCAAUGCCUGACGGAGCAACGCCGGGUGAGUGAUGAAGGUGUUCGGAUCGUAAAACUCUGUUAUUCUUGAAGAAGAUAUGUGCAAGUAACUGUGCACAUCUUGACGGUACCUAAUCAGAAAGCCACGGCUAACUACGUG